UACGAAGGGAGCUAGCGUUGUUCGGAAUCACUGGGCGUAAAGCGCACGUAGGCGGAUGUGUCAGUCAGGGGUGAAAUCCUGGAGCUCAACUCCAGAACUGCCUUUGAUACUGGCGAUCUCGAGUCCGGGAGAGGUGAGUGGAACUGCGAGUGUAGAGGUGAAAUUCGUAGAUAUUCGCAAGAACACCAGUGGCGAAGGCGGCUCACUGGCCCGGUACUGACGCUGAGGUGCGAAAGCGUGGGGAGCAAACAGG
rnacentral:rRNA from 1 species